GUGUCUUGACUUUGUUCCUAUAUGGAUCAACAUUGGAGGGCAAACACUUGGGUACCUAGUGAAAAGAUAGAAUACUGACUUCUUCCUAUCUACAUCAGCUUAAGGUAUGAUAUUUAUCUUCACCAUGCUUAUUAUUUAUAUGAUUGAAUUUCAUCAAGGAGAUUCUUGGGUUUAGGGUUUGAAUAAUUGAUUAGAAUUUUAUUAUGCUAAAAAACUUUUGAAAUUCAUUAUGCUUUCAUUGCAC
rnacentral:lncRNA from 1 species